CUCGUCUUUCACAACGUUUUUCACCUCCAUGUUGUCUCUCAAAACUGCACCCCUCUGGAAUGCCAAUGCUUGGAACAUGGACACUGCCUUGGUGGGCUUUAUAACCCCGCCAGCAUCAGUUAACACGCCAAACCAAUCCUCCGGUAGGUUAAUCGUGCCUGAGAAUCGGUCGGACACUUGUUGCCGGUCUAAGACCUGAUAUGGGAUGGACUUUUUUUCGCAGCUAGAGAUAACCGAGCGAAGGCUCUUGUUAUCCGAGGGGCUCAUAUCGAAUUGCUGUGCUUUGAAAUAAACCUUGUAGCCAAUCUCUGAUUGAACCUGCUCCCAAAUUUGUGAGGAUUCCUUAACCAUGUCACAGUAGUAGUCUUCUGGGUAAGUUGCACGUAUAGUUCGUGACUCGCCAUGUGAGGAUCCACGGUGGUGCAAGAAAUCAAAUUGCUCUAGCAACAGAGUUUUUUGGCCUCUUUUUGCUAGUUGAUAGGCAGUGGAACUGCCCAUAAUGCCGGCACCGACAACGAUAACAUCAAAUUGGUGGCUGGAAUAUUCCAUCUCUAGCUACUUCUCUUGUGGCAAGAACAAAGAUUUUUAGAGGAGAGGUUUCCCUUGGUUAGGUUGGAUCCAAGGAGGAAGUAAGAGAUGAGUUUUAAGGUGAAAAUAUUGCGCAAUGAAAUGGACCAUAUGAUGAUUUAAUAUUCAAAGUACUCUCUCCACCCAACUUGUUAGUUGUAUUUAUGCAUAAAAUUUCAUAUAAUAUAUGAUGGUGUCAUGCACGACUUUCAUGUUUUCUGAUGCAUUUUAAACGUGCAUGCAUAUAUAUAUUAGUGAAUUGAUAAAAUAUAAUUAAUUAGAUAACAAAAACAAAAUUAGGAUAUGUCAAUCAAUGAAAUUAGCUUCUUUUUUUAAUCAAAUUAUGGAUAUAUAGAUGAAUUGACAAUUGGGGCAAGAAAUGAUUAUAUGAUAUGGGUUUCUUCUAUUUAUUUAUAAUUAUAUAUUACCUUUUAUUGGGUAUGAUAUUACCUUUUUUAAUCCAUUUUUGACAAAACUGGACUAUUAAAUCUAGCCAAACAUGUAUAAAAUUUAACUAAUUAGACCUAUAAGAACUAUUGUUGCGGAUCUCUUUAAUAUUUUAUGCAAAAUUAUUAAACCCAGUCCAAGUUUCGAGUCACAAGUUGGACUAAUUAAUUUAAGUUGAUUUGGAUCAAUGAAAAAAAUAUUAUUUUUUUUUAUAUAAAAGAAAGGUAAAAGCAAUGUUGUUUUGAAGAAUUUGUUAAAUUAAACAGUUUUGAAUGGAUUAUGGGUUGACCUUUAUUGUAGAAUAGGAAAUUAAUAUAGAAUGUUGUUAUCAUUACAGUUACUCAUGUAUCUAUCAAAAUAGGAAAGUAAUAUAAGAUGUUGUAAUCAUUACAGUUACUGCAGUGUUCUGCUACCUCUAUAUAAAUAGGAAGGUUGGCUAAGGCACAACCCAACACAUUCCAUUAUUCUCAACUUGGUAUCAGAGCCACAAAACCCUAAAAUAAAUUAAACCUACUUUUCUCCUAGCCUCCCAGCCUCCCUUCUUCAAUGGAACAGCCGCCACAUACAUCUUCAAAUUCUGCAGCACCAGCAGUCCAGCUUUCUUCUUCUCCGACAGUGCAGCCCUCUUCUCUUGCAGCGCCUCCUCUGCUUUCCUCUACUGCGUCACCGCCUGGAUUCUCCUCUGCCAUGGCUGGUGAACGCCUCCUCUUGCAGCCCACGUCUGCUGCCUCUACUGCCGCAAGCAUUAUCUCCCUUUCUCACACUCAUCAAGUCAUCUCCCUCAAAUUAACAAACACCAAUUAUUUAUAUUGGCGUAUGCAGAUGCUGCCUUAUCUCCUAGGCCAAGGAGUUUUUGGUUUUGUUGAUGGCUCCAACACAUGUCCAUCAACACAUGUUCUUGCCCAUGAUGGUAUCUCUCUUCAGGUAAAUCCGCUUUUUCAAACCUGGAAACAACAGGACCAACUCAUUCUAAGUGCUCUUCUUUCCUCCCUAUCUAUGGAAGUUUUGCAUCUUGUUGUUGGCUGUCAAAGUUCUUGUUCAGCUUGGGGCACUCUUGAGCGAGCUCUCGCUUCCACCUCCAACUCUCGUAUUAUGCAACUUCACGGCUCUCUUCAGGAUCUUCGACAGGGUGAUGAAUCAGUAACUCAAUUUAUGCAAAAAGCGAAGGCCUUAUUUGAUGAAUUGGCGCUGCUGGUCGGCCAGUUUCGCUUGAAGAUUUCAAUUUAUAUGUGUUUCGUGGUCUUCGGGGAGAGUUUAAAGACUUAGUUACCAGUCUUAUUACCAAGGCUGAACCUUUAUCAUAUGCAGAUCUUCACAGCCAUCUCCUCACACAUGAAUUUCUUCACAAAUCUUCUGCUGCCAUACAUGCUCCUCUGCUGCCCACACCCAGCAUUCCAUCUUCUGCUCUUGUUGCGCAGCGCCAGACUUUUGGCAAUUCUGGCCGCAGCAGGGGCCGCUUCAACGGUGGCUGGCGUCCCAACCAGUCCAACAGAGAGGCAACCGAUUUGCUGGCUCCAGACCUGAUCACCGCAGCUUCCAAAACUCCUCCUUCGGUGACAAUAGGCAGGGCUCUUGGCAGCGCAAUAGGGGGCAGAAUCCACGCUGCCAACUUGUCAGAAUUUCGGCCAUACAGCUCCCAUUGCCCUCAAUUCCAGCAGCGAGGUUAUGGCCAACAACCUACUGCCAACCUGGUGCAGCGCAAUCUCUCCUCAACCGGUUCUGUUGAUUGGUUUCCAGAUACCGGUGCCAAUCAACACGUCACACCUGAUCUUGCCACCUUGACCGCUUCAGAACCGUAUCUUGGUAAUGAUAAUUUGCAUGUUGGUGAUGGUAAGGGCCUUCCUAUAUCUCAUCUUGGUCAUACAAAAAUAUAUACACCACAUCGUUCUUUCACCUUAUCUAAUGUUCUUCAUGUUCCUGCAAUCACAAAACCUCUGCUCUCUGUUCAGAAAUUUUGUCUUGAUAAUAAUGUUUAUUUUGAAUUUCACCCUCGUGUGUUUUAUGUCAAGGAUUUCAACACCCAUGAAGUCCUUCUCUCAGGUCAGAGUAAAGAUGGUCUCUAUGCCCUGACCAAGUCUUCCGUCACGUCAGUUCCUCAAGCCUAUUGGUCUCCCUGCACUUCUGCCUCUGCCGAUUUAUGGCAUCGUCGACUAGGUCAUCCUACUUCACGUAUUUUUCAAUUGUUAAUCUCGAAAAAUAAGAUCAUUUGUAACAACAAACGUCUUAAUUUUCAAUGUCAAAGUUGUCCUUUAGGAAAAUCAUCGCGUUUGUCUUUAGGACCUACGGGUCACAAAACUUCUGCUCCACUUGAAUUAAUUUUUAGUGAUGUAUGGGGCCCUGCUCCUCUUUUUUCUUCAGAUGGCUAUCGUUAUUUUGUUAUCUUUGUUGAUGCUUAUACUAAAUAUGUAUGGUAUUAUCCUCUCGUUGCCAAGUCUGAUGUUUACUCUGUUUUUCAUCAAUUUCAGACUCUUGUCGAACGUCAAUUUUCAUUAAAAAUAAAAUCUGUUCAAACUGAUUGGGGCGGUGAAUACCGAAAACUAUCCACAUUUUUUCAGACCAUUGGUAUUCAUCAUCGUCUGAUUUGUCCCCACACUCAUGAACAAAAUGGAACAGUAGAGCGUCGUCAUAGGCAUAUUGUGGAAACAGGUCUUACUCUUUUAGGGCAAUGUAAAGCACCUUUUCGAUUUGGAAUUAUGCUUUUGAAACCUCUGUUUAUCUUAUAAAUCGCAUGCCUACUCCUAUUCUUGCCCAUCGCUCUCCGUUUGAUUGUUUAUUUCAACGGUCUCCUGAUUAUCAUUUUUUGCGUACCUUUGGGUGUCUCUGUUUUCCUUUUCUGCGUCCAUAUAAUAAUCAUAAAUUGGAUUUUCGUUCCUCUCCAUGUGUGUUUUUUGGAUAUAGUUCCUCGCAUCUUGGUUAUCGAUGUCUUGACAUUGCAUCUCACCGUAUUUAUAUUUCUCAUGUCCGCUUCCAUGAACAUGUGUUUCCAUUUGAUAAUUCUGAACAGAUUGCAAAGGUCUCCACCACAACCCCCACCCCACCCGCUACUGUCACCCUCCCAAAUUUGCUAAACCACCCACCGCCACCCACUUUCACUAGCCACCCAAACAGCCCACAACACUCCGCUUUGCCACUCCAAACAGCCACCCGACCACAGCCUCCACCCAUCCCUUGGCCAUCAUCCCAUGCUUGUUUAUCUAACCCUUAUGAUGCAGGUUCAGAUCGUCAAUUGGUCUCCUCUCCUCAUGGUCUUGGGGCACUUUCUAGUCCCUCCUCUGCUUCGCCCUCCCUGGCCAGCACUCCUGCAGCUUCAGUCUCUACUUCCAGCCCCUCCUCUGCUGACAGUCCUGUGCUUGAGGCUGCUUCUUUAUCAUCCUCUCCCGCUGGUCUGCAACUUAUGGUUGAUUUGUCUUCUUAUCAGCUGCCACAGGUCUCCUCGCUACAACCGUCUUCCCCUGUGUCUCCACCAGCACACACAGACAUCCUAUGACUCUUAGACCGCGACAGCCGAAGACAACUAAUCUGGUUGCUUCCGCUGCCGCAACUUCUACCUCCACACGGGUACUAUAUUCUCCCUCUUCUGAGCCUUUUGCAUUCUCUGAUGCUGACCGGUAUGCAGUUUGGCAUAAUGCUAUGUGUGAUGAGAUCGCCGCUUUACGCGAAAAUCGCACUUGGUCUUUGGUUCCAUUUCAUCCUUCGAUGAACGUUGUUGGCAGUAGAUGGGUAUAUCGGAUCAAACGUCGUGUUGAUGGUAGUAUUGAGCGCUAUAAAGCGCCUUGUUGCUAGAGGUUUUACCCAGCAGGAAGGUAUUGAUUAUUCUGAAACCUUCAGUCCAGUUAUUAAGCAGGCCACUGUCCGAUUGGUUUUCUCUAUCGCGGUUUCGCGAAAUUGGAAGAUUCAUCAGCUUGAUAUUCAUAAUGCCUUCCUCAAUGGUGUUCUUACUGAAGAGGUCUACAUGAAACAACCUCCAGGUUUCGUUGACUCUUCUCUUCCAUCUCAUGUGUGCAGAUUGCACAAAUCAUUGUAUGGUUUGAAACAGGCACCGAGAGCAUGGUACACUCGUCUAAGUGAUUUUUUGCUCUCCAUCGGUUUCCGAGCUUCCAAGGUUGACACCUCCCUGUUUAUCUUAUCUGAUGGUACUAAUAUCUUUUAUCUCCUGGUGUAUGUUGAUGAUAUUCUGCUCACGGGUAGCAACUCUGCUAUGCUCCAUCACCUUAUACAGUUACUCAGCUCUGAGUUCAAGCUUCGUGACUUAGGUGUUGUUCACUACUUUCUGGGUAUUGAAGUUCAGUCUACCAGUAUGGGUUUAAUGUUGCGUCAACAUAAAUAUAUUCUUGACAUCCUCACCCGAGCUGGUAUGACUUCCUGCAAACCAGUUGAUACUCCAGUCUCCCCUUCGAAAGUCAUUUUAUUACCGGAUCAUUCAUUCUCUGAUCCUACACGAUUUCGUCAAAUCGUGGGUGCUCUUCAAUAUCUUACCUUCACCCGUCCAGAUAUAUGCUUUGCUGUUAACAGAGUCUGUCAGUUUAUGCAUGCUCCUACAGAUUCUCAUUGGGCUGUCAAACGUAUUUUACGCUAUCUUAAAGGUACGACAUCUUAUGGUUUCCAUAUCACUCGAGGCUCCUCUUUUGCUCUACAUGGCUUUACAGAUGCAGAUUGGGCUGGUAGUAUUGAUGAUCGCAAGUCUACGGGCGGCUAUCUUGUCUUUUUUCAGACGCCGAUUUCUUGGAAAUCCGGCAAGCAACGCACUGUUGCUCGCUCCUCUACUGAGGCUGAGUAUAAAGCCCUUGCUGAUGGUACCGCUGAAGUCAUUUGGCUUCAAUACUUGUUAACAGAUUUGCAAGUUCCCUCAGUCUCUGCUCCUACCAUUUGGUGUGAUAAUCUUGGUGCUACCUAUCUCUCAGCAAAUCCUAUCUUCCAUGCUCGUACUAAGCAUGUUGAAGUGGAUUAUCACUUUGUCCGUGACCGUGUUGCCAAGAAAAAAAUUCAGAUUCGUUUUGUUCCCUCUCGGGAUUAACUUGCUGAUGUCUUCACUAAACUGCUUCCUGUUGCAUCCUUUACUUCUUUUUUGUUCAAGCUUCGAGUUGAUCCCCCACCCUCAGCUUGAGGGGGCAUAUUGUAAAAUAGGAAUUUAAUAUAGGAUGUUGUUAUCAAUAUAAUUACUCAUGUAUCUAUCAGAAUAGGAAAGUAAUAUAGGAUGUUGUAAUCAUUACAAUUACUGCAGUGUUCUGCUGCCUCUAUAUAAAUAGGAAGGUUGGCUAAGGCACAACCCAACACAUUCCAUUAUUUUCAACUACCUUAUAGGUCGAUUAGGUCAAACAAUAUCAACUUUUGUUUGAUUUAUUUUUUUUACAACCCGACUUGCCUAUUAGUCUUGGCUAGGUUUAUUAACUUUCAUUCAAUAGACUAUAGAUAUUACUAAAUCAUUGGCUAAUGUUAUCGCUACCUAGUGAGUCAGAUCAUUUUUUUUUAAAAUAUAUAAAACAAAUAUCCAAGCAUUGCUAACAUAUUUUCUAAUAGAAACAAACCAUGUAUGGGGUUGGCUUGCUGUGACUUGGUCGACUUGAUGGGUCCAAUAAAAACUUCGAUAACUGAAAAAACAUAGUUUAACUAAAAAAUUGAGAUAGUAUUUUUUUUAAUAUUGAGACGACAACAUAUUAGAUUGACAAGGAUCAACCCGGGUUAAUCUUUCAAAUUCAUGACCCGGAUCAUAAGAAUGUGAUAACCCAAUAGAAAGCACAUCGAAAUAAAUUAUGAUUCACAAUUCAUAAUCAAUCCACUAUUUAAUGAUAAGAUUGAAAAAACUUCAAUUAAAAAAAGGACAAAAAACAAAUGACUUGCAUUACCUGUCAAACUCAUGAUUCGAGUUAUGAAAUUAAAAUAAAUUAUGCAUCACAAUUCCCAAACAACUCAUUAUUUAAGGAUGGAGUUGGAAAAAAAAACCAAUUAAAAAAACAUAAAAACAAAACAUUCGGGUCAACUCAGGAUAACUCGUCAAAUCCAUAAUUUAGAUCAUAAAACUAGGACAACCUCAUAGAAAGUAAGUUGAAACAAAUUAUGAACACUAAUUCUCAAUAAACUCAAUGUUGAAGAAAAAAGUUUUAAAAAAUAAUUAAAAAGGGGACCCAAAAAAUAACCUAUAUCAAUUGAGUUAACUCAUCAAACCUAUAAUUUUGAUCAUGAGACAGAGAUAACCUCAUAAAAAGCAAACAAAAAUAAAUUAUGAAGCCUAAUUCUCAAUCAAGCAAACAUUGAAGGAUAAAACUAAAAACAAAUUAAUUAAAAAAAGAAAAAAAACCCAAUUUACAGGUUAAAUAGCUAAACUCACAACAUGAGUCAUGAUACUAGAAGUUCAAUCUCAUAGAAAAUACAUUCUUGAUACAGUUUAUGAAGUUCAAUCUCCAAUAAAUUUAAAAUUACAUAAUGAAAUUGAAAAAAACUAAAUUUAAAUAAAAAAACUUAUUAAUAUUCCAAUGAUCAGUCAUAUGUGAGGAGGGGAAAUGUGAAUUGCCCUCUUCAAUUAGUGAUAUAAUUAGCUGUGGAUCUAUGCUGCGCCACGAGGUCAUAACUUUUUUGUGUAAAAAAUAAUAUUCAAGUGCCGCAAAUAUGUUUUAAUGUAAGAAGAACUCAGAUCAUAGACCUGAUUAUGUUAAAUAAGUUGGUUUUAUUUUAAUUAGGUGAUAGAAAAAACAAGCAACGAUAACAUAAGGACCAAAUUAAAAAAAACAAUGAUCAUGAUAACUUGGAGAAAAAAUAUUUUUUCUAAAGAAAACAAACAAUAUAGCUCAAUUCUCAGACUAUAAAUAUAGAAGGAUGAAAUUAGAUUAAAAAAAAAAACCAGCUCGAUUCAAUCUAAGUUAACACAACAAACUUAUAAUCAAGGUAAUAACGGCCGAGCCAACCCUAUUUAACCCCCCAAACUAGCGAAUCAGGUCAUAUGAUUGAGCUAACCAGAUGUAAAAGAAAACUAAGAAAAUAACAAAACCCUUUUUAAAAAAAACAAUGUUUAAUGAAAAAUGCUGAAAAGAAAAUUAAAAAGAAAAUAAUGCUACUCAUGUUGAUUUUUUAAACACGUGACAAGAGUUAUUAGAUUGAAAACACCCUAUCCAAGAAAACCAUAAUGCCUAAUUCACAAUCAAUCAAAUGUUAAAGAUUGCAAUUGAAAAUUUGCCAAAAAUAACUCUUUUUUAUAAGCUGCAAGCACUGCAAAAAAAAAAAAUAAGUGUGCAACCAGCCAAGAGAAAAAAAUAAAGAAAAGAGGGCUCUUGUCAUUUUUCAUGAUAAUUGCUUGGAAAAAAAAAAGAAAGAUAGGAAGAAUGUUGAGUAAUUAAAGAGAGGGUUUAAUGUGUUAAGGGGUGUUCAAUGAAUUUGUGUCCACUUGUUUUUGCUUUUGAUUCUUCAUUAUUUAAGGGAGAGGUUGGAGGCUCUGGACAGCAACAGGGAGUUGCUAGUCGAGUACAACCAGCAGGAAGGUGCUCUACAUCUUGAAUAUUUGUAGAGAGAUUAAUUGAAAGCAUGUGUUAAUUUUUAAUUAAAAAUUAUGUCAUUUUAUAUUUUGAUGUCAAUUGAUGAACUAGUGCCCAAUAAUUGGAUGGAUGAACCAGUGCCUGGUAAUUAAGCGAAUGAACUGGUAUCCGUAUUGAGAAACUAGUGCUCAGCAAUUGGAUGGAUGAACUAGUGUCCGAUAAUUGGGCAGAUGAAUUGGUGUCCCUAUUGAGAGAUUAGUGUAUGGCAAUUAAACGAAUGAACUAGUGCUCGGUAAUUGGAUGGAUGAAUUGGUGUCCCUAUUGAGAGAUUAGUGCCCGGUAAUUAGGCAGAUGAACUAGUGCUCCGUAAUUGGACGAAUGAACUGGUACUCGAUAAUUUAGGCAAGGAUUAACGUUCCUGUUAAGGGAUUAGUGCCCGAUAUUUGGGUGGGUGGGUUAGCGUGCCUAAUAGGGGAGGAGUACCCCGGUGAAUGGGCUAGGAAUGAAAUUAAUUGGAUGAAUAUGGAUGUGUAAAAUAUUAAUGAUUCAUCAUAAAAUAUAUAGAAGAAAUAUUUUCAUAUGGGUGUAAUGAAAUGAUGCAUUGCAUUUAUUGAUAAUUAUGUUGAUAAAGUGAAAAUCUUAUUUUCAGGAUCCUAGCAGCAAGAUAGUAGAUCCUUUUUAAUAUUAGACAUUUUUGUAUAUAUUUAUGUUGAUCAAUAUGUAUUAUGGGAUUAAUGAAUGAUGUAAAAGAUAUUGAAUGAAUCAUUUUAGUUACACAACAUAAUUUUUAUAUCUAAUUAAUGUUAAUGUUAUACUUACAAAUGUUUUUGUGCUAAAUUAAGUAAUUACAUUCUAAAAUGUUUGCUCAUAUGAUUAGAAAAAAUUACACUAAAUUUUCAUAGUUAACUAAGAAAUUAUCCUAGAUAAAAUAAUGGGGAUGUUACAAAAAACUGGCUCAAUUCAACUAAAGAUAAUGCAACAAACCUAUAACCAGGGUAAUAACAGCUGAGCCAACCCAAAUUAACCCCUAGACUCGUGGUUCAGGUUAUAUGAUCGAGAUAACCCGAUAUAAAAGAAAACUAAGAAAAUCACAAAACCUAUUUUUUUAAAAAAAAAAAAAACAAUGUCUAAUGAUAAAAGUUGAAAAGAAAACGAUAAGAAAGAAAUGAUAUCAACUCACAUUGACUUUUCAAACAUGUGACAAGAAUCAUGGGAUUGAAAGCACCUUGUCCAAGAAAACCAAAACAUAAAGGUUAAUUCACAACCAAUCAAGUGUUAAAAAAUAAAAUUUUUAAAAAAAAGAAUUUCAAUUAUAAAAAAUAAUCCGAAACAAAAAAAUAUCAAUUAAUAGAAUGUAGAUCAAAAUUUAAAUAAAAAAUAAAUUUUAUUUUUUUAUUGAAUAGUAAAAUUAAAAAGAAAAAUAAUUUAACAGAAGGACUAAAAAAUAAAACAAUAAAAAAAAUAAUGAUCAAAUUAAAAUAUAUAUAUAUAUAUAUAUUACAAAUUGAGAUUGAAUGAUAAAAUUAAAAACAGAUUUAAAUUAUAUAAAAGGAUCAAGAACAAAAAUUAAAAAUUAAAAAAAUAAGAAUUGAAUUUAACAUCUCAAUAAAUCAAAAAACAACUCUAAAACUUUGCAUGGUCAACAUGAUUUUUUAGGAAAGAGAGAAAAGUCUGAGGAGAAGAAAAAUAGGUCACUGACAUCGCAUUGCUAUCCUAACACCGUCACGCUCCAUUUCAAAAGGAAGGGUUAUUAAACAUGUCCAAUUUGAUGGGUCAACUCGAAAAUCUAGUGAUCUAAAACUUGAUUGGAAUUGGGGUUUUGAAUGUUGACCCAAGUAAACCCAAAUAACUUAAUAAAUUGAUCCUGUGAUUUAGAUAACUCGAUAAGUUAAUAUGCCAUGUAAUUAGCCCAUUCAAACCUAAAAAAAUACCCUACCAUAUCAAUUUUAAAAGAAAUACUUUUUAUUUUUCAGAACAAAGCUUUUUUGGGAUUGUUCUAAAUUUAUCCGAUAUCAUGUGAAUGAGAUUAACUCAACAAUUGAAUAAUCAGUUCUUAGACUUAAUCAGAUCUCAAAUUAGACAUAACACCGAAGACAAUAAAAAUCAUUCCAGCUAUGCAUGAAUAUAAACGAUGCAACAUACACACACACACUUUUGGAUGAUCACAUCUUUAAAGAUUCUAUCUCUAAUAAAUCUUGUACUAUUUGGAACUUUUUGAUUUAAAGAAUUCGUCGAAAUCAAUUCCUUCAAUAAAGUAAAACCACAAGAAUUUGCAAUAGUGUUGUCAACAGCGAUGCAGCCUCUGCUAUGUUUAGCAAGGUGAUUGGUUAAGAUAUGUAAAUUAUAAUUCAGUCCCUAUAAAUAAACAAAUGUUUCACUUCAGCAUCUACAUUUUUUUUCUUUUCCCAAAUCAUCCAUGUUUUUUUCAAAAGAUUUCAGUGAGCCCGUUACCGUUAAGUAGCUGAUAAAAUAUAAAUGAUUUUUUUAAAAAAAAUUAUACCCCAAAGUUACUUGAUAGUGGAGCAGCAUUAAAAUUUUAAUUUAUUAUUUUAUUUUUAUAUUAUGUUAUAAUGUAUGAAAUAAUGAAAGCAUCUCAAUCACUGUAGCUUCGAUUGAAUAAAUUAACAGUACUUUAUUGGGUGACGAUAAUAAAAAAACAUAGCAUAUAAUAAUUGAGAUUUGAAUUCCAAGCACUCCUGCAACCAUGUGUGGAUGCCUUGCUUAAUCAAAAACGAAGCACUUUUGAAUUCCAAGUAAUCUUUUUUUUUUUUUAACCAAACACAAUCUAAAAAUAUUAUUUCAUCUUAAAUUAUUUUCACUUGUUUUCUAUACUUAAGAAGGGAGAGGGGAUUUUUUUGAAAUAUUACUCAAACAAAACUAAAGAAAAAUGAAUUAAAUAAAUAAAAAAGCCAAGCCAGAACCUUUCCCAUAAAAAAAGCCAGAAACCCGAAACACACAGAUUCUCGCAAGCAGCAGACACAUCCAUAUAUAGCCAUAGCCAAGAACACUGAAGGAAGUUAGCUGGCAAGACCACAUAUAUAUAUAUAUAAAAACGAAAAAGUGGAAAUUGUUCAAAUAUAAAUUAUUGCUUAUACUUCUAUUAAACAGGCUAUGACUGUGGAUGAAUAAGUUUAUAGCCCUAUCCCCCUAAACAUCUUAACUCCUUCAAUGUUCAUAAAAUCUUAUUUUAACUAGUUAGUUUAGCUAAAUUGAGUAGCAGUAUGGAUUCGUAAUUCGAUGGUACUUUUGCAAAAAUAAGAGAGUUGAGGUCUUGUUCGAAACUCAGAGAUAUCACUACUUGUCUAACACUACUACUCUUCCCAUCCCCUUCAUCUGUGGAAUUUGUUCACGAAAAGAAAUCCCUCCAUGUUUUUUAGUCAAUCAACAUGCACCAGAUAAAGCUAAGGUCAUGCACCAGCUGCAAUCAAAAGCUUGAAUGGCUUGAUUCUGUCACCAUCAAUUAGCACCACUAAUCUCUUUUGAUAAUGUCAUGCAAUCACACAAAUGAGCUCGUUCCAAAUGUGCUUGGGAUUUUGAUAUCUUUUGCGGUUUUGGUUUGGAAAAAAACAAUUACCAUAAUUUGCGAUGGAUUCCAUGAAUAUUUCCCGAGUAAAGACAUCUCUAUCUAAAAAGACAAUCAGAGCCUAAUCAGACAAAGAAAAUGCUGAAACGCACCUUUUCCAUAUCAUGCUAUGUUAUAAAGUCGAAGAAAAUUAAUCAAAUGAAAAUGACUCAAUCCAUUCACUAAGAAGCGGUGAAACUUUUUAGCAAGGCUUGCUCUUACUUUUCUGGCUUGUAAAGAGGUAGUCAAUUGAUUCCUCUAGCAUAAUUUUGUCCAGAUUCUUUGUACUACCAUCUUCACAAAACGUUAAUCUUUGAAGUCCCUGUCUCUCUAAAUUUUGGAACCAAUAGGCUGCUGAGUGGAUGCAAAGCUGCACUGACUCAUCUUCCAUCAAGGGAUUGUGACAAAUCCGUGCCUGCCAGGGUUCAAAUAUUGGCAGCCCAUUAGAACAUGUGGCCUUAGAACAUGCUCAGAAGAGUUAGCUUUUCGAUAAUGAGAAAUUAUUACAUUAACCGACCAAACCUUGUCACUUCGAAGUGGCUAAAUCGACCAAACCUUAUCACUCUACAUGAAUUUGAUCCGUGACAACAACAAACUUUAUUAUGCUAUUAAUUCAGAAAAGAUUAUGAAACAGGGGAGAAUUGCAGGUUGCAACAGCUUUAAUGUUUAUUAAUUCAAAAAAGAUUAUGAAACAGGGGAGAAUUGCAGGUUACAACAGCUUUAAUGUUUAUUAAUUCAGUAAAGAUUAUGAAACAGGGGAGAAUUGCAGGUGACAACAGCUUUGAUGUUUAUUAAUUCAGAAAAGAGUAUGAAACAGGGGAGAAUUGCAGGUUACAACAGCUUUAAUGUUUCAAGUCUUCUUGUUGGGCUUGAAUACAUACUCAAGUAUUGAUUCUUUAAUUGAUAACAUUUCAGGGAAUUCAUCCUUCAGCUUUGUACCAUCCAGCUCAUUGAGUCAGAUAAAAGAUGUUGAGUAAAUGAAUAGAAGAUGCCUUGAUUCAAGUUCCAUUCAAAGGCUAAUUGAAGAUGUCGAGGGUGAAGUGAAACUUGAAGAUGUUGGGACGUACAGGAGGUGGCUCAAAGCAGGGACACAUUAUUGGACAAAGAAAGGAAUGAAGCAGAGGAGUUAGCAGGUCGAGUAGAAACUCUUGAGAGCGCUUUACGUGAGAAAGAAUCCCAAUUAAAUAUGCUUGAAGGAGUUGAAGGUUUGGGACAUCCAAGUAACCCAGCCUCUGAAAUUGUGGAAGUUAAACCUGUGGUGAGUCUUUCAAUCUAUCCUCUCACAUGAUGAAACUUAGUUGCUUAGUGAUUCCAAGAUGUUUGGUAACAAAUCCUGACAAAGCAGAACUGUGUAAUUAAGAUUUUCUAUCUAGUUGAAACAAGUAGAGCAAUCUUAAGGCUUCUAUGCUGGUAAUAGUGUCAGGAUAAGCUUGUCGAAAGGUUUGAGUUUGACGCCUGCCAGUAAUUUCUGUUGGCCAUAAUUUGGAGUCAAAAUGUUUUGCACUUCGAUGUUUUUUGUUUUAAAGCAGUUCGAUUCUUGUUUAGUUUUCCUCUUCCACCUCGGUUCCUGGUUUCAAGUCGCUUACUACAUCGAGAAUUGCCCCAAAGUUUACAAGACCUGUGUCUGACAUGAUUGAUGGUCUAUGGUAGGAUUAUCUGCUUUAUUCUUUCAACUUUUUCUUCUUAAAGAGAAGAAAUCUACAAGGAUUAGGUUUUUCCUUAAUCUGACAAUGUGAAGUUCUCAUGCCUAUCAUUUUCCUGACGAGCUAUGGGGAUGAUAAUGCGUAAAAAAAUGAAGAAGAAGAGGGAAAAAAGAAGGAAAAAGUCUUUGCUCUUGCAUGCUUACCUCUCUAUAUAACUACCAUGAAAACAAAUAAUACACUACUAUAAUUUUUAUAUUAAGAGAUUGUACUACUAUGGUAGUGUGGAAAAUUUGGUGUAUGGAUUAUUUUUACAACAUCCAUGAAAUAGACAGUCCAAAAUUCAUUGAAAUAAUAUAUAUAUCUCCAAGACUGAAUGAGCCAGGGUUUGACAGCUUUUUCUUUCUCCUUGGCAGUACAAUGGAUAGCAAGAACAUGAUCACACAGAAUGGAUUCACUUGGAUCAGAAUGAUCUGAUUACUUAAGUGUGAUCUGAUUCACUUGGAUCACUAAACAGGACUAUGGAAAGUCAAAACCUCACUCGAGCAGGUUCUGAUUUGGUUUAAAGGCUAGAUGAACCCAAGCUCCUUCCAGGAUCAAAUUGUAGCGUAGAGUGAAAUACUCUCUAAUCUCUAUAUGUGGCCAGAUUGAUUCAUUAUUUAGCUCAACCAAGAAGCUGUGAUUGCCAUUUCACUCUUACAAAUCGCAGAUUCAGUCGAUUGCAUCUAACAAGAAGAAAUUACCUGAACCCAACAACACCAUCAUCAUCACAGUGUUGUUUCUCUAUGAGUUCAAGGCUUCGUUCCUCUUUUUGAAAACUAUACAAAAGCAGCAAAAUUCUCUGAAUGUUAUCUGUAGUUUGUACAUAUUGGAUCUCUUGACUCCAUUUUUUUGCUAGCAGAUGAGAUGUAUACAUGUCUUCAUAAUUUAGGGUUAGAAGAUAGAUUCGGAGAAUCACUAUAUAUAUAUUUAUUUGACAAUAAAAUAUUAGAUUACUAGAAAGUGAUAAAUACAGUACUAAAGAUAAGAUACCAACCAAAUUAGCCAUGGCCACAAAAAGCCCUCGAUUUCCUGACGAGCAGGUUCUGGUUUGGUUUAAAGGCUAGAUGAACGCAAGCUCCUUUACUAAAGAUAAAUAUACCAAACAAAUUAGCCAUGGCCACAAAAAGCUCUAGAUUUUUUUCCCAUUGACAUGCAUGGACAAGAAAAUAAUCUGUCUGCUCAUUUACUUGUGAUUUGAAAAGAAGUUGACCAGAUCUUCAUAAUCCUUCACAUUCCCUUUAGCAUUAUCCUGAAACCUUUGAACCCUAAAGUAUUUCAUUUCCACGCCCUUCGCCUCCCCACUAAGCACAAGGUCAGCCAAAACCCUGCCCACAACUGGAGCCAUCUUGAACCCAUGACCCGAAAACCCACCGCCAAUCACCACAUCCUUCCCAAACUCCCCGCCGAGAAAAUCAAUCACAAAAUCCUCGUCUGGGGUCAUUGAGUACAUACAUGACUGAGUAGCAACCGGUCCGCCAUAAUCAACCAAGCCUGAGAAUCUCCCCUUGAUCCAUUCCUUCAGAGAAUCCAAUGAAAUCCCAGCUGGACCCCAUGGCCUCUUAUCAGGGUCACAAGGGUACCCUCCGUGCACAGAAAUCUUUAUCAAACCUGGAAACUCCAACGACGGUGUGCCGUAAACGCAGGGCUCCCCGUAGCUUACAAACGUAGGAAAAUCACUUCCAAUGGCAAACUUCGCCUCAUGCCCCUCCUUGAUCCUCCAAUAACACACUGUGGUCUCCAAGGCUUGUAUAGGCAAUUCAAGCCCACCAACCGUUUUAACUAACUUUCUUACCCAAGCCCCAGCAGUAAUCACACAUUUUUUACCCCAAAACUUUUCACCAUCGGCAGUCUCCACAUUUACCCCUCCUUUUACCUCGUCUUUCACAACGUUUUUCACCUCCAUGUUGUCUCUCAAAACUGCACCCCUCUGGAAUGCCAAUGCUUGGAACAUGGUCACUGCCUUGGUGGGCUUUAUAACGCCGCCAGCAUCAGUUAACACGCCAAACCAAUCCUCCGGUAGGUUAAUCAUGCCUGAGAAUCGGUCGGACACUUGUUGCCGGUCUAAGACCCGAUAUGGGAUGGACUUUUUUUCGCAGCUAGAGAUAACCGAGCGAAGGCUCUUG
rnacentral:lncRNA from 1 species